rnacentral:rRNA from 1 species
CACGUAGGGCGCAAGCGUUGUCCGGAAUUAUUGGGCGUAAAGAGCUCGUAGGCGGUCUGUCGCGUCGGCUGUGAAAACCCAGGGCUCAACCCUGGGCCUGCAGUCGAUACGGGCAGACUAGAGUCCGGCAGGGGAGACUGGAAUUCCUGGUGUAGCGGUGAAAUGCGCAGAUAUCAGGAGGAACACCGGUGGCGAAGGCGGGUCUCUGGGCCGGAACUGACGCUGAGGAGCGAAAGCGUGGGGAGCGAACAGG